GAGUUUGAUCCUGGCUCAGGAUGAACGCUGGCGGCGUGCUUAACACAUGCAAGUCGAGCGAUGAAGUUUCCUUCGGGAAAUGGAUUAGCGGCGGACGGGUGAGUAACACGUGGGUAACCUGCCUCAUAGAGUGGAAUAGCCUUCCGAAAGGGAGAUUAAUACCGCAUAACGUUGAAAGAUGGCAUCAUCAUUCAACCAAAGGAGCAAUCCGCUAUGAGAUGGACCCGCGGCGCAUUAGCUAGUUGGUGGGGUAACGGCCUACCAAGGCGACGAUGCGUAGCCGACCUAAGAGGGUGAUCGGCCACAUUGGGACUGAGACACGGCCCAGACUCCUACGGGAGGCAGCAGUGGGGAAUAUUGCACAAUGGGGGGAACCCUGAUGCAGCAACGCCGCGUGAGUGAUGAAGGUUUUCGGAUCGUAAAGCUCUGUCUUUGGGGAAGAUAAUGACGGUACCCAAGGAGGAAGCCACGGCUAACUACGUGCCAGCAGCCGCGGUAAUACGUAGGUGGCGAGCGUUAUCCGGAUUUACUGGGCGUAAAGGGAGCGUAGGCGGAUGAUUAAGUGGGAUGUGAAAUACCCGGGCUCAACUUGGGUGCUGCAUUCCAAACUGGUUAUCUAGAGUGCAGGAGAGGAGAGUGGAAUUCCUAGUGUAGCGGUGAAAUGCGUAGA
rnacentral:rRNA from 1 species